rnacentral:tRNA from 1 species
GGCAGUGGCAGAGUGGUAUGGCUCUGUUGUUGUGCACAGGAGCCCUGGGUUCGAAUCCCAGGCUGAACCU